UUUAUGGAGAGUUUGAUCCUGGCUCAGGAUGAACGCUGGCGGCGUGCCUAAUACAUGCAAGUCGAGCGAACGGACGAGAAGCUUGCUUCUCUGAUGUUAGCGGCGGACGGGUGAGUAACACGUG
rnacentral:rRNA from 1 species